rnacentral:tRNA from 1 species
AGAAAAAAGUUUCGACCACGGCAGGAUUCGAACCUGCAAUCUUCUGCUCCGUAGGCAGACGCGUUAUCCAUUGCGCCACGCGGCCACAUU